rnacentral:rRNA from 1 species
GAUGAACGCUGGCGGCGUGCCUAAUACAUGCAAGUCGAGCGAACAGACGAGGAGCUUGCUCCUCUGACGUUAGCGGCGGACGGGUGAGUAACACGUGGAUAACCUACCUAUAAGACUGGGAUAACUUCGGGAAACCGGAGCUAAUACCGGAUAAUAUAUUUAACCGCAUGUUUCAAUAGUGAAAGACGGUUUUGCUGUCACUUAUAGAUGGAUCCGCGCCGCAUUAGCUAGUUGGUAAGGUAACGGCUUACCAAGGCAACGAUGCGUAGCCGACCUGAGAGGGUGAUCGGCCACACUGGGACUGAGACACGGUCCAGACUCUUACGGGAGGCAGCAGUAGGGAAUCUUCCGCAAUGAGCGAAAGCCUGACGGAGCAACGCCGCGUGAGUGAUGAAGGUAUUCGGAUCGUAAAACUCUGUUAUUAGGGAAGAACAAAUGUGUAAGUAACUAUGCACGUCUUGACGGUACCUAAUCAGAAAGCCACGGCUAACUACGUG